rnacentral:lncRNA from 1 species
UGUUUUUACCAAAGUUUCAUAGAAAUUUUUCAAAUAUUUUUUGACUAAUUGUGAUUAAUUAUAAACUUUUCUCAACAUGUGCCCCAAUUUGUUUUCCAUUUUACUUUCAUUUAUUUUGGAAUAAUUUUGGCAUGUGAUUACUUUUCCCUCUUAUUUAUAAACUUGGUUUUUAAAGAAAUUUAUUUUGUUUCUCCAUGGCUAAGAAAUGCGGGUGUUUAAUCACAUAAAUAAGCUCUGAAUAAUUAGAGAUUUUUUUUCUAAGCUAUGUAAACUGUUUCUCUUCAUUUUAAAAUUAAUGAUGGACUCCUUGGGCUAGUUUCUAUUGUUGAACUUUUGUUUCAAACUUUUAUUCUUAAUUUUGUUUUUCCUGUGUCUUUUGUGUUGCUAAAUAGGUUAUAAGCUACCUGUAAUGUUGAGGGACUGAGCACAGGGUUGAGUUACUCAAUAAACUCUGCUUAGUUGUUUUAUUGCAACUUAAGAAAUGAAGAGAAGAAAGUCAAAUCAACAAAACAUUGUUAAUAAUGAUCAUAAUAUCUUUGUAACAAACUUUUUGGAAGAAGGAUUUGAUGCCAUUUUCUAAAAUAUUGUUUAUGUGUUUUAUUGCAAAACUUCCUAAAUAAGCUGUCUUCAUUAAUUGAAAGUUAAUUCCCUGUUUUCAUGGUUUUAAAGCCAUGGUCUCU